rnacentral:rRNA from 1 species
AAUGAACGCUGGCGGCGUGCCUAACACAUGCAAGUCGAGCGGUAAGGCCCCUUCGGGGGUACACGAGCGGCGAACGGGUGAGUAAUGCGUGGGUAACCUGCCCAGAAGUGGGGGAUAGCCCCGGGAAACCGGGGGUAAUACCGCAUGUGCUCCAGCCGACGCGAGUCGGCUCUUGGAAAGGCGGGGAUCCUUCGGGACCUGUCGCUUCUGGAUGGGCCCACGUCCGAUUAGCUAGUUGGUGGGUAACGGCCUACCAAGGCCACGAUCGGUAGCCGGCCUGAGAGGGUGAACGGCCACAUUGGGACUGAGACACGGCCCAGACUCCUACGGGAGGCUG